rnacentral:rRNA from 1 species
UACGAAGGGGGCUAGCGUUGUUCGGAAUUACUGGGCGUAAAGCGCGUGUAGGCGGUUGUCCAAGUCGGGUGUGAAAGCCUUGAGCUCAACUCAAGAAAUGCACUCGGUACUGGGUGACUAGAGGACCGGAGAGGAUAGUGGAAUUCCCAGUGUAGUGGUGAAAUACGUAGAGAUUGGGAAGAACACCAGUGGCGAAGGCGGCUAUCUGGACGGUUUCUGACGCUAAGACGCGAAAGCGUGGGGAGCAAACAGG